CCUGAGGAGAGAAGUGUUCAAAGUGUUAGUGGUUUGAGAGCUGUAGUUCCCUGAGAUAGAUACAGAUAGGCUGGACUGACAGAAUUAGCCUCUCGCUGUAACUCCAUUAGCCCCUAUGUUAAUAUCGCCCGCAGAAUUAUUUGGGGGAGAUUCUUACACCACUUUCUUCCAGAUCCAUAAGGGAACCUUAGCCCAACUAACACA